GCCGGGAUGGCGGAAUGGUAGACGCACCCGACUCAAAAUCGAGCGCCGAAAGGCAUGGGGGUUCGAGUCCCCCUCCCGGUA
rnacentral:tRNA from 1 species